UAGGGAAUCUUCGGCAAUGGACGAAAGUCUGACCGAGCAACGCCGCGUGAGUGAAGAAGGUUUUCGGAUCGUAAAACUCUGUUGGUAGAGAAGAACGUUGGUGAGAGUGGAAAGCUCAUCAAGUGACGGUAACUACCCAGAAAGGGACGGCUAACUACGUGCCUAG
rnacentral:rRNA from 1 species